rnacentral:misc_RNA from 1 species
GUUGUGUUCCAUAUUUACCAAAGGAGACUCAGUUGUAUGCUUGCCAAGGAUAAAAUAUCCUGUGAAAUUGCUCAUUCCCUCUCCUCCCUGCCUUAUUUAUUCUUUUUCUGCUGGAAAGUUGGUUGUUUAUUUUUGAGGGAUAAAUAUGUCAGAUCACUCCCAUGAUCCCAUCCCAUCCAGUCUCUCUAGCUCUCCUUGACACCUUAUAUGCAUGAACGCAAUUAUGCAUGUUUAUGUUAAAGGAUUUUCUUUAUAGUUUAUACCAUGGUGUUGGUAGCCCCUAUUGAGUCUGUGCUAACUUGUUAUGGAAAGUUCAUCAUGUUAAUAUUGUUACUUGUUGCUGUGCAUACUUGAUUUCUUAAGUUAAAAUAAUCUGCUUUUGUCACUUCAAACCAAAAAUGGACUCCAUCUCCUGUUUCUCUUGCUGUAUUUGUAUGAGCGCAUGCACAUGUGCAUGCUUUUCUUUUUUAAAGGAUUUUCUUUAUACCACUGUGUUGCUUGCCUCUCUUG